rnacentral:rRNA from 1 species
AUGAUGGCGUCCGAGGUGGCGAAAGGCUCUGCUGCCGUGCCGCUGGCCGGUGUGCUUGACGGGUUGGUUCCUCUCGCCGUGUUCGGCAGUGACGGCGAAAUUCCUCUGCGUCCAUGGAGAUGUGUAUUCAAGGAUCAGAGAGGAUAUAAGUAUGCCCGGCGGGACACCGGACUGGGAAGAAUUAGUGAUCAAGCUGCUUUGGAUACAGUCUCCAUACAGAUAAAUAAAGGAUGCAACAUCUUGUUGCAUACGGAUGAUGUGGAGUCGGGCCAGUAUAAAGGAAGAGGAAUAGUUGCAAGGAAUUCGGCACGAAUCAAAGAGAAAAUAAAGACUGAAGAAGAGAUUGGGUGUGCGGACAGGGUGAGUGUGAUUGGUAAAACCAUUGAUCCAACCAACGAGAAAGCGGGGCUGCGGGCACAGUCCCGCGAGCAGAAAUGA